rnacentral:rRNA from 1 species
UAGGGGAGCGAACGGGAUUAGAUACCCCGGUAGUCCUAGCUGUAAACGAUGGAUGCUGGGUCUGGGGGGUGUAAAUUCCCUCUGUGCCGAAGCAAACGCGUUAAGCAUCCCGCCUGGGGACUACGGCCGCAAGGCUAAAACUCAAACGAAUUGACGGGGGCCCGCACAAGCAGCGGAGCGUGUGGUUUAAUUCGAUGCUACACGAAGAACCUUACCUGGGUUUGACAUGCACGUGGUAGGGAACCGAAAGGGGACCGACCUUCGGGAGCGUGCACAGGUGCUGCAUGGCUGUCGUCAGCUCGUGCCGUGAGGUGUCGGGUUAAGUCCCGUAACGAGCGCAACCCUUGCCCUUAGUUACAAGUGUCUAAGGGGACUGCCCGGGACAACUGGGAGGAAGGUGGGGAUGACGUCAAGUCAGCAUGGCCUUUAUAUCCAGGGCUACACACACGCUACAAUGGCCGGUACAAUAGGUUGCGAGGUCGUGAGGCGGAGCCAAUCCUCAAAGCCGGUCUCAGUUCGAAUUGCAGUCUGCAACUCGACUGCAUGAAGCUGGAGUUGCUAGUAAUCGCAGGUCAGCUGUACUGCAGUGCAUACGUUCCCGGGCCUUGUACACACCGCCCGUCACGUCAUGGAA